AUGUUUGGUCACUUCCUCUCUGUAGUUCUAUGUAUUACUGUACUAUCUAUCUUUGAUUGCUUAUAUGCAUGUGAUCACUGCAGCAUAUAUAAAAUACAUGUUGCAGCAUCACUAGCCCCUCUUUUACCUACUGCAUGUACUAAAAUUUGUAUUAAUUGUAUACAAAUCAUAAUGGCGGUGCACACAUCAAAUUCAGGACAUCCAGCUUUUAGAAAACGAUCCAAAUCAAUGUGCGCGUAUGUAGGGUAUGGCGACUUGGCUAGCAAAAAGGUUCAAGCCUGUUUGGAAGUAUGAAGGGUUUCAGUUGAUAUUAAUUUAUUAAAUGCUAUGAGUUUUCCAUUGUAUUACAGUUGAUAUAGAACAAUAUUUCAGGAAAAUAAAAUGUUUACUAUACAGGUUCUUUUCAUGAAGCUCAAAGUAGAUUUAAGAUGGUGAUCUACUGAUGCGUAUCUGAGGUUUAGUCCAUGUUUGAUGGGUGACCGUCAUCAUGAGUUCUGUUUCCCAUAUUGUUUGUAUUGCGAUUUGCUAAACCCCUGAUUUGUGGCAUGGAUGGAGACUCUUAGUUGGUUUUGUUCUUUCUUUUGCAAAGAAUAGCUUUGGAGUCUUCUACAUCUGUGUAAAUCAGAUAUCCUCACUGAUACGAUUAAUGCUUUGUUGUUUAGUAUCUCAAUUUCUGUAGAUCUUAAAUUUUGAUACGUCCAAUUUGGAAAGGAGAAAAGAUGAAUUGUGCGGUUUUCUUGCAAAUUUGGGUACCAGUCAGUUGUUCUAUUCAAUAACCAGCUUGAUGAACAGCGAGCUCUCAUAUAUAGCUCCUUCGAAUACCUGGUGUUGAUCGACUUGAUGUGGUGGUUUGCAAAUUGG